CCCAGUAGCUCAGCGGUAGAGCGAUCGGCUGUUAACCGGUUAGCCGCAGGUUCGAAUCCUGCCUGGGGAGUUGCCA
rnacentral:tRNA from 1 species